GAAAACCUGGGAUGUUCGAUAACUUCUGUAAUUUUGAACCUACAAUACUUUAAACGGGAUGCUCAUUAUCUCUGUAAUAUGUCAGGCCUCCGUUUGUAGUGGAAGACAGAAAAGCAGAUGCGGCUGCCCACCUAGCAGCGGCUAGGAGUCAAAAUACAGAAACCGGCAUUUUGGGGGAUUA
rnacentral:other from 1 species